AACGAACGCUGGCGGCGCGCCUAAUACAUGCAAGUCGAGCGAGAAGGUGUAGCAAUACACUUGUAAAGCGGCGAACGGGUGAGGAAUACAUGGGUAACCUACCCUCGAGUGGGGAAUAACUAGCCGAAAGGUUAGCUAAUACCGCGUACGCUUCCGGAACUGCGGUUCCGGAAGGAAAGCGAUACUGUGAGUAUCGCGCUCUUGGAUGGGCUCAUGUCCUAUCAGCUUGUUGGUGAGGUAACGGCUCACCAAGGCUUCGACGGGUAGCUGGUCUGAGAGGACGAUCAGCCACACUGGCACUGCGACACGGGCCAGACUCUACGGAGGCAGCAGUAAGGAAUAUUGCGCAAUGGACGACAGUCUGACGCAGCGACGCCGCGUGGGGGACGAAGGUC
rnacentral:rRNA from 1 species